rnacentral:tRNA from 1 species
GGACCUUUAGCUCAAUCGGUAGAGCUUUGUACUUAUGAUGCAAGGGUCCCGAGUUCGAUUCUCGGAAGGUCCA